UUGAGAAAAGGAGAAGGAGAAGUUUACUUGUGAAAAGGAGAGUGUUAGCUUUGCUUUGGUGUUUAAGGCAAGAGAAGCAGAUCCGUCACGUUCUGGUAGAAUAGAGUUACGACGUAUCAAAUCUUAUCGAAAGUUUGGUGAGACGCGUUUUCUCUGUUGCGAACUGGGAUCAGCGGAGUUUGUAAGUGCGAUCGUGGAUUCAUUGUUUCUCCGAUCGGCACCAAAUUUCGUAGGGGGCUUCGUGACGUCUGGAUCUUGCUUUUCACCGUAGGGAUUAAGAAGUUAACGGGCGUUGUUUGGCUGUUGCAGUCACGAAGAGAGUAUUUCCUGGCUGUUUUUGUAACUCAAAUCACCUUGUUAAGGUAAAAGCAAAGUGUGAUCCGUGGAAUCAUGGCGAGGAGAGGAGG